rnacentral:rRNA from 1 species
GACGAACGCUGGCGGCGUGCCUAAUACAUGCAAGUCGAACGCUUUGAUUUUCACCGGAGCUUGCUCCACCGAAAAUCAAAGAGUGGCGGACGGGUGAGUAACACGUGGGCAACCUGCCCAACAGAGGGGGAUAACACUUGGAAACAGGUGCUAAUACCGCAUAAUUUGUUUUUCCGCAUGGAAGAAUAAUAAAAGACGCUUCGGUGUCACUGUUGGAUGGGCCCGCGCUGCAUUAGUUAGUUGGUGGGGUAACGGCCUACCAAGACCAUGAUGCAUAGCCGACCUGAGAGGGUGAUCGGCCACACUGGGACUGAGACACAGCCCAGACUCCUACGGGAGGCAGCAGUAGGGAAUCUUCGGCAAUGGACGAAAGUCUGACCGAGCAACGCCGCGUGAGUGAAGAAGGUUUUCGGAUCGUAAAACUCUGUUGUUAGAGAAGAACAAGUGAGAGAGUUACUGUUCUCACCUUGACGGUAUCUAACCAGAAAGCCACGGCUAACUACGUGCCAGCAGCCGCGGUAAUACGUAGGUGGCAAGCGUUGUCCGGAUUUAUUGGGCGUAAAGCGAGCGCAGGCGGUUUCUUAAGUCUGAUGUGAAAGCCCUCGGCUCAACCGAGGAAGGUCAUUGGAAACUGGGGAACUUGAGUGCAGAAGAGGAGAGUGGAAUUCCAUGUGUAGCGGUGAAAUGCGUAGAUAUAUGGAGGAACACCAGUGGCGAAGGCGACUCUCUGGUCUGUAACUGACGCUGAGGCUCGAAAGCGUGGGGAGCAAACAGG